rnacentral:rRNA from 1 species
AACGAACGUUGGCGGCGUGGAUGAGGCAUGCAAGUCGAGCGAGAAAGCACCUUCGGGUGUGAGUACAGCGGCGGACGGGUGAGUAACACGUAAUCAAGCUGCCCUCGAGACUGGGAUAACAGGGGGAAACUCUUGCUAAUACCGGAUGGUCUUGUUGGUUCGCAUGGACCGGCAAGUAAAGGUGGGGAUCCUACGGGACCUGCCGUUCGAGGAGGCGAUUGCGGCCUAUCAGCUAGUUGGCGGGGUAACGGCCCACCAAGCCGACGAUCUGUAGCUGGUCUGAGAGGACGACCAGCCACACUGGGACUGAGACACGGCCCAGACUCCUACGGGAGGCAGCAGUGGGGAAUUUUGGACAAUGGGCGCAAGCCUGAUCCAGCAAUGCCGCGUGCAGGACGAAGGCC